CGGGCCGUAGCUUAGUCUGGUAAAGCGCCUGGUUUGGGACCAGGAGAUCGCUGGUUCGAAUCCAGUCGGCCCGA
rnacentral:tRNA from 1 species